rnacentral:rRNA from 1 species
GACGAACGCUGGCGGCGUGCUUAACACAUGCAAGUCGAACGGAAAGGCCCUGCUUUUGUGGGGUGCUCGAGUGGCGAACGGGUGAGUAACACGUGAGUAACCUGCCCUUGACUUUGGGAUAACUUCAGGCAACUGGGGCUCAUACCGGAUAGGAGCUCCUGCUGCAUGGUGGGGGUUGGAAAGUUUCGGCGGUUGGGGAUGGACUGGCGGCUUAUCAGCUUGUUGGUGGGGUAGUGGCUUACCAAGGCUUGGACGGGUAGCCGGCCUGAGAGGGUGACCGGCCACAUUGCGACGGGGAUACGGCCCAGACUCCUACGGUAGGCAGGGGUGGGGAAUAUUACACAAUGGGCGGAAGCCUGAUGCAGCAACGCCGCGUGCGGGAUAACGGCCUUCGGGUUGGAAACCGCUUUCGCCUGUGACGAAGCGUGAGUGACGGUAAUGGGUAAAGAAGCACCGGCUAACUACGUG